rnacentral:rRNA from 1 species
CAGCAGCCACGGUAAUACGUAGGGCGCAAGCGUUAUCCGGAAUUAUUGGGCGUAAAGAGCUCGUAGGCGGUUUGUCGCGUCUGCCGUGAAAGUCCGGGGCUCAACCCCGGAUCUGCGGUGGGUACGGGCAGACUAGAGUGAUGUAGGGGAGACUGGAAUUCCUGGUGUAGCGGUGAAAUGCGCAGAUAUCAGGAGGAACACCGAUGGCGAAGGCAGGUCUCUGGGCAUUAACUGACGCUGAUGAGCGAAAGCAUGGGGAGCGAACAGGAUUAGAUACCCGCGUAGUCCCUGUCUCUUAUAC